UACGAAGGGGGCUAGCGUUGCUCGGAAUCACUGGGCGUAAAGGGUGCGUAGGCGGGUCUUUAAGUCAGGGGUGAAAUCCUGGAGCUCAACUCCAGAACUGCCUUUGAUACUGAAGAUCUUGAGUUCGGGAGAGGUGAGUGGAACUGCGAGUGUAGAGGUGAAAUUCGUAGAUAUUCGCAAGAACACCAGUGGCGAAGGCGGCUCACUGGCCCGAGUACUGACGCUGAGGCACGAAAGCGUGGGAGCAA
rnacentral:rRNA from 1 species